rfam:Bombyx mori DNA, contig: Bm_scaf63_contig29546, strain: p50T/Dazao, build 2, whole genome shotgun sequence.
UUAACUCAAAUUUGUAUGGAGUUGGAACGUUAGCUUACGUUGGCCGCUAGGGGCACUGUUCCAACUUCAUAAAAAUUUGAGUUG